rnacentral:rRNA from 1 species
UACGGAGGGUGCAAACGUUGCUCGGAAUCAUUGGGCGUAAAGCGCACGUAGGCGGAUCGCUAAGUCGGGUGUGAAAUCCCUCAGCUUAACUGAGGAAGUGCACACGAAACUGACGAUCUUGAGUACGGAAGAGGGUCGCGGAAUUCCCGGUGUAGAGGUGAAAUUCGUAGAUAUCGGGAGGAACACCAGUGGCGAAGGCGGCGACCUGGGCCGAUACUGACGCUGAGGUGCGAAAGCGUGGGGAGCAAACAGG